rnacentral:lncRNA from 1 species
UUGAGGUUCCAUUGAGUGUAAAUUCAAUCCUGUGGAUCUGGAAAAGAUUAUGGGAUAUAAACAGAUGGAACCAAGGGACAGAAGCCUGGGAAAAGUGAUCAGGCCUGGAGAUGCACAAGCAAGAUUUUGGAGUUUACACCAAAGGUGAUAGCGUUAGCAGUCAUGGGAGAUGUCUAGGGAGAGGUAAAAACAGAAGAGCACAGCUCUAAAGAAGUCUGGGGGAACC